GGAACGAACGCUGGUGGCAUGCCUAAUACAUGCAAGUCGAACGAACUCUUCGGAGUUAGUGGCGCACGGGUGCGUAACGCGUGGGAAUCUGCCCCUUGGUUCGGAAUAACAGUUGGAAACGACUGCUAAUACCGGAUGAUGACGAAAGUCCAAAGAUUUAUCGCCAAGGGAUGAGCCCGCGUAGGAUUAGCUAGUUGGUGAGGUAAAGGCUCACCAAGGCAACGAUCCUUAGCUGGUCUGAGAGGAUGAUCAGCCACACUGGGACUGAGACACGGCCCAGACUCCUACGGGAGCAGCAGUAGGGAAUAUUGGACAAGUGGGACGAAAGCCUAG
rnacentral:rRNA from 1 species